UACGUAGGGCGCAAGCGUUGUCCGGAAUUAUUGGGCGUAAAGAGCUCGUAGGCGGACUGUCACGUCCGCUGUGAAAAGCUAGGGCUUAACCCUGGCCUUGCAGUGGAUACGGGCAGACUAGAGUGCGGUAGGGGAGAUUGGAAUUCCUGGUGUAGCGGUGGAAUGCGCAGAUAUCAGGAGGAACACCGAUGACGAAGGCAGAUCUCUGGGCCGUAACUGACGCUGAGGAGCGAAAGCAUGGGGAGCGAACAGG
rnacentral:rRNA from 1 species